CAGGCCCACACCAAUCGCCGGGUGGUCUCUCCGCCGCGUCUCAGCACCGGCGACCACGGACGGAGCCGGCGAGGAGGGAGGCGAGGCGACCUCGAUUCCUCGCCGUCCCCGUCGAUCUUGACCAAAGCCGGCGAAUCCGCGAAUCCCUCCGGCUUCCUCUCCCUUCCCUUCCUUGUGAGUUGGCUCCGUCACCCUCCCCGUUACCGCGACGCCAUCUCGCGGCUCUCCACCGAUCGGUGAGCCGUCCUGAUCACUUUCCAGGAUUCCCCUGUACUAACUUGAAUUUGUCGUAAGAGAUUGUUCCUACUAUAAUCAUCUGCAUAAGAGCUCUUCAGUAAACACUUCAAAUGUAUCUUGCACUGGAGUAAUGAACUGAAAACUUCAUAUGCCCAAUGUUGUCAAAUGUGAAUGCAAAAUUGAUCAAAUGGGUCUUCCUUCUUAAUUCAUUCACAUAAUUCGUUAACCAGCCAAGUUGGGCAGCUGCUUGCCUUGGAAGGGUGCUCCAAGGCCAUGUGCAAGGUUUGAUUAAACAUAAUAUUAAUUUGCAGCCUACUAUAGGAAAAGGUUCUCUAGGUCUGAUUUCUCUGUUUGUUUUCACUUUAAUUAUUAUCUGGCAGCUUUAUAAUUUUGGUUCCUGUUUUGCUUUCACCUCUUUUGCAUAUUAAAAGGUGUAAAGAACAGAGGUGUGUGAGCUUCUCCCGCCACUUUGUUGUUUUUAUAUUACAUGAAGUUUGCAAAAACGUUUUGUAUCAGAAUCCCCACUUCCUUUGGCUAAUUACACAAUACUACC